AUGAACGCUGGCGGCGUGCCUAAUACAUGCAAGUCGAGCGAACAGACGAGGAGCUUGCUCCUCUGACGUUAGCGGCGGACGGGUGAGUAACACGUGGAUAACCUACCUAUAAGACUGGGAUAACUUCGGGAAACCGGAGCUAAUACCGGAUAAUAUAUUGAACCGCAUGGUUCCAUAGUGAAAGACGGUUUUGCUGUCACUUAUAGAUGGAUCCGCGCCGCAUUAGCUAGUUGGUAAGGUAACGGCUUACCAAGGCAACGAUGCGUAGCCGACCUGAGAGGGUGAUCGGCCACACUGGAACUGAGACACGGUCCAGACUCCUACGGGAGGCAGCAGUAGGGAAUCUUCCGCAAAGGGCGAAAGCCUGACGGAGCAACGCCGCGUGAGUGAUGAAGGUCUUCGGAUCGUAAAACUCUGUUAUUAGGGAAGAACAAAUGUGUAAGUAACUAUGCACGUCUUGACGGUACCUAAUCAGAAAGCCACGGCUAACUACGUG
rnacentral:rRNA from 1 species